rfam:Chthoniobacter flavus Ellin428 ctg42, whole genome shotgun sequence.
GAAAGCCGGAUGCGGGAAAUCUGCACGUCCGGUUUGACGAGGGGAGGGGCGGUCGACGGUCAUGGCCAUUACGGCUCUCAUUCCGUCACCCCCCUCCUACUCUAC